rnacentral:misc_RNA from 1 species
GAUGAAGAACGCAGCGAAAUGCGAUAAGUAAUGUGAAUUGCAGAAUUCAGUGAAUCAUCGAAUCUUUGAACGCACAUUGCGCCCGCCAGUAUUCUGGCGGGCAUGCCUGUUCGAGCGUCAUUUCAACUAUCAAGCCCCCGGCUUGUGUUGGGGACCUGUGGCUGCCGCAGGCCCUGAAAACCAGUGGCGGGCUCGCUAGUCACUCCGAGCGUAGUAAUACAUCUCGCUCAGGGCGUGCUGCGGGUUCCGGCCGUUAAAAAGCCUUAUUUACCCAAGGUUGACCUCGGAUCAGGUAGGAAGACCCGCUGAACUUAAGCAUAUCAAUAAGCGGAGGA